CACGCAGGCGGUCGGACGCGUUUCGGGUGACAGCGGGUGGCUUAACCACGCGAGUGUUCGAAAGACGGUCUGACUUGAGGGCUCGAGAGGGACACGGAAUUCCGGGUGGAGCGGUGAAAUGCGUAGAGAUCCGGAGGAACACCGAAGGCGAAGGCAGUGUCCUGGCGAGUGACUGACGCUGAGGUGCGAAAGCCAGGGGAGCGAACG
rnacentral:rRNA from 1 species